UCGUUAGUUAGCAAUUAUACCGUGAAACUGCGAAUGGCUCAUUAAAUCAGUUAUCGUUUAUUUGAUAGUACCUUACUACAUGGAUAACCGUGGUAAUUCUAGAGCUAAUACAUGCUAAAAACCCCAACUUCGGGAGGGGUGUAUUUAUUAGAUAAAAAACCAAUGCCCUCCGGGGCUCUUUGGUGAUUCAUAGUAACUUAACGGAUCGCAUGGCCUUGCGCCGGCGACGGUUCAUUCAAAUUUCUGCCCUAUCAACUUUCGAUGGUAAGGUAUUGGCUUACCAUGGUUUCAACGGGUAACGGGGAAUUAGGGUUCGAUUCCGGAGAGGGAGCCUGAGAAACGGCUACCACAUCCAAGGAAGGCAGCAGGCGCGCAAAUUACCCAAUCCCGACACGGGGAGGUAGUGACAAUAAAUACUGAUACAGGGCUCUUUUGGGUCUUGUAAUCGGAAUGAGUACAAUUUAAACCCCUUAACGAGGAACAAUUGGAGGGCAAGUCUGGUGCCAGCAGCCGCGGUAAUUCCAGCUCCAAUAGCGUAUAUUAAAGUUGUUGCAGUUAAAAAGCUCGUAGUUGAACCUUGGGCCUGGCUGGCCGGUCCGCCUCACCGCGUGUACUGGUCCGGCCGGGCCUUUCCUUCUGGAGAACCCCAUGCCCUUCACUGGGUGGUGCGGGGGAACCAGGACUUUUACUGUGAAAAAAAUUAGAGUGUUCAAAGCAGGCCUUUGCUCGAAUACGUUAGCAUGGAAUAAUAAAAUAGGGACGUGCGGUUCUAAUUUUGGUGGGUUUCUAAGGACCGCCGUAAUGAUUAAUAGGGGAAUAGUCGGGGGGCAUCAGUAUUCAAUUUGUCAGAGGUGAAAUUCUUGGAAUUUAUUGAAGACUAACUACUGCGAAAGCAUUUUGGCCAAGGAUGUUUUCAUUAAUCAGUUGAACGAAAGUUAAGGGGGAUCGAAGACGAUCAAAA
rnacentral:rRNA from 1 species